rnacentral:tRNA from 2 species
GGCGCCGUGGCCGAGUGGCUAGGCAGAGGCCUGCAAAGCCUCGCACACCAGUUCGAUUCUGGUCGGCGCCU